rnacentral:ncRNA from 1 species
AAAUAAAUUUUUUAUGGUUUAAUAAUUUUAUUAUAAGUUUAUUUUACAUAUAAAUUUUAGUGUUAAUUGUUAUUUAUUUAAAUAAUAAAUAAUUUUUAAGGUAGUAAUUAAUUUUAAAAAUUUAAGAAAUUAAGAUUUAGUAAUAUUGAAAUUAAUAACUAAUUUUGUGCCAGCAGUUGCGGUUAUACAAAAAUUGAUUUAAAUUUUUUUAGUAAUUAAUAAAUAAUUAUUUAAUAAUAUAAAAAUUAAAUUAUUAAGUGAAAUUUAAUUUAAUAAAAAAUUAUUUUUAAAUUAUGAUUUAAUAAAUUUAAUAAAAAACUAGGAUUAGAUACCCUAUUAUUAAAAUUUAAAUUAUUAUACUAAAAUAGUAAGUAAUUUUUUAUUGAAACUUAAAUAAUUUGGCGGUAUUUUAGUUCAUUUAGAGGAAUCUGUUUAAUAAUUGAUAAUCCACGAAUAAAUUUACUUAAUUUAAAAUUUUGUAUAUCGUUGUUAAAAAAAUAUUUUUUAAUAAAAAUAAUAUUUAAAAAUUUAAAAUUAAAAUUAAAUCAGAUCAAGAUGCAGAUUAUAAUUAAGAAUAUAAUGGAUUACAAUAAAUUUAUUUUAAUUGGAUUUUAAUAUGGAAUAAUUAAUUGAAAUUGGAUUUAAAUGUAAUUUUAUUUAAAUUAAUAAAAUGAUUAUAUAUUAAAAUAUGUACAUAUUGCCCGUCGCUUUCAUUUAUAAAUUGAAAUAAGUCGUAACAAAGUAGAGGUACUGGAAAGUGUUUCUAGAAAGAU